rnacentral:rRNA from 2 species
UUAAGCGACUAAGCGUACACGGUGGAUGCCCUGGCAGUCAGAGGCGAUGAAGGACGUGCUAAUCUGCGAUAAGCGUCGGUGAGGUGAUAUGAACCGUUAUAACCGGCGAUUUCCGAAUGGGGAAACCCAGUGUGUUUCGACACACUAUCAUUAACUGAAUCCAUAGGUUAAUGAGGCGAACCGGGGGAACUGAAACAUCUAAGUACCCCGAGGAAAAGAAAUCAACCGAGAUUCCCCCAGUAGCGGCGAGCGAACGGGGAGGAGCCCAGAGCCUGAAUCAGUGUGUGUGUUAGUGGAAGCGUCUGGAAAGGCGCGCGAUACAGGGUGACAGCCCCGUACACAAAAAUGCACAUGCUGUGAGCUCGAUGAGUAGGGCGGGACACGUGGUAUCCUGUCUGAAUAUGGGGGGACCAUCCUCCAAGGCUAAAUACUCCUGACUGACCGAUAGUGAACCAGUACCGUGAGGGAAAGGCGAAAAGAACCCCGGCGAGGGGAGUGAAAAAGAACCUGAAACCGUGUACGUACAAGCAGUGGGAGCCUCUUUAUGGGGUGACUGCGUACCUUUUGUAUAAUGGGUCAGCGACUUAUAUUCUGUAGCAAGGUUAACCGAAUAGGGGAGCCGAAGGGAAACCGAGUCUUAACUGGGCGUUAAGUUGCAGGGUAUAGACCCGAAACCCGGUGAUCUAGCCAUGGGCAGGUUGAAGGUUGGGUAACACUAACUGGAGGACCGAACCGACUAAUGUUGAAAAAUUAGCGGAUGACUUGUGGCUGGGGGUGAAAGGCCAAUCAAACCGGGAGAUAGCUGGUUCUCCCCGAAAGCUAUUUAGGUAGCGCCUCGUGAAUUCAUCUCCGGGGGUAGAGCACUGUUUCGGCAAGGGGGUCAUCCCGACUUACCAACCCGAUGCAAACUGCGAAUACCGGAGAAUGUUAUCACGGGAGACACACGGCGGGUGCUAACGUCCGUCGUGAAGAGGGAAACAACCCAGACCGCCAGCUAAGGUCCCAAAGUCAUGGUUAAGUGGGAAACGAUGUGGGAAGGCCCAGACAGCCAGGAUGUUGGCUUAGAAGCAGCCAUCAUUUAAAGAAAGCGUAAUAGCUCACUGGUCGAGUCGGCCUGCGCGGAAGAUGUAACGGGGCUAAACCAUGCACCGAAGCUGCGGCAGCGACACUAUGUGUUGUUGGGUAGGGGAGCGUUCUGUAAGCCUGUGAAGGUGGCCUGUGAGGGUUGCUGGAGGUAUCAGAAGUGCGAAUGCUGACAUAAGUAACGAUAAAGCGGGUGAAAAGCCCGCUCGCCGGAAGACCAAGGGUUCCUGUCCAACGUUAAUCGGGGCAGGGUGAGUCGACCCCUAAGGCGAGGCCGAAAGGCGUAGUCGAUGGGAAACAGGUUAAUAUUCCUGUACUUGGUGUUACUGCGAAGGGGGGACGGAGAAGGCUAUGUUGGCCGGGCGACGGUUGUCCCGGUUUAAGCGUGUAGGCUGGUUUUCCAGGCAAAUCCGGAAAACCAAGGCUGAGGCGUGAUGACGAGGCACUACGGUGCUGAAGCGACAAAUGCCCUGCUUCCAGGAAAAGCCUCUAAGCAUCAGGUAACAUCAAAUCGUACCCCAAACCGACACAGGUGGUCAGGUAGAGAAUACCAAGGCGCUUGAGAGAACUCGGGUGAAGGAACUAGGCAAAAUGGUGCCGUAACUUCGGGAGAAGGCACGCUGAUAUGUAGGUGAAGCGACUUGCUCGUGGAGCUGAAAUCAGUCGAAGAUACCAGCUGGCUGCAACUGUUUAUUAAAAACACAGCACUGUGCAAACACGAAAGUGGACGUAUACGGUGUGACGCCUGCCCGGUGCCGGAAGGUUAAUUGAUGGGGUUAGCGGUAACGCGAAGCUCUUGAUCGAAGCCCCGGUAAACGGCGGCCGUAACUAUAACGGUCCUAAGGUAGCGAAAUUCCUUGUCGGGUAAGUUCCGACCUGCACGAAUGGCGUAAUGAUGGCCAGGCUGUCUCCACCCGAGACUCAGUGAAAUUGAACUCGCUGUGAAGAUGCAGUGUACCCGCGGCAAGACGGAAAGACCCCGUGAACCUUUACUAUAGCUUGACACUGAACAUUGAGCCUUGAUGUGUAGGAUAGGUGGGAGGCUUUGAAGUGUGGACGCCAGUCUGCAUGGAGCCGACCUUGAAAUACCACCCUUUAAUGUUUGAUGUUCUAACGUUGGCCCGUAAUCCGGGUUGCGGACAGUGUCUGGUGGGUAGUUUGACUGGGGCGGUCUCCUCCUAAAGAGUAACGGAGGAGCACGAGGGUUGGCUAAUCCUGGUCGGACAUCAGGAGGUUAGUGCAAUGGCAUAAGCCAGCUUGACUGCGAGCGUGACGGCGCGAGCAGGUGCGAAAGCAGGUCAUAGUGAUCCGGUGGUUCUGAAUGGAAGGGCCAUCGCUCAACGGAUAAAAGGUACUCCGGGGAUAACAGGCUGAUACCGCCCAAGAGUUCAUAUCGACGGCGGUGUUUGGCACCUCGAUGUCGGCUCAUCACAUCCUGGGGCUGAAGUAGGUCCCAAGGGUAUGGCUGUUCGCCAUUUAAAGUGGUACGCGAGCUGGGUUUAGAACGUCGUGAGACAGUUCGGUCCCUAUCUGCCGUGGGCGCUGGAGAACUGAGGGGGGCUGCUCCUAGUACGAGAGGACCGGAGUGGACGCAUCACUGGUGUUCGGGUUGUCAUGCCAAUGGCACUGCCCGGUAGCUAAAUGCGGAAGAGAUAAGUGCUGAAAGCAUCUAAGCACGAAACUUGCCCCGAGAUGAGUUCUCCCUGAGACUUAGAGUCUCCUGAAGGAACGUUGAAGACGACGACGUUGAUAGGCCGGGUGUGUAAGCGCAGCGAUGCGUUGAGCUAACCGGUACUAAUGAACCGUGAGGCUUAACCUU